rnacentral:rRNA from 1 species
UACGGAGGGUGCAAACGUUGCUCGGAAUCAUUGGGCGUAAAGCGCACGUAGGCGGUCGGCUAUGUCGGAUGUGAAAGCCUCGGGCUUAACCCGAGAAGGGCAUCCGAAACUGGCCGGCUUGAGUACGGAAGAGGGUCUCGGAAUUCCCGGUGUAGAGGUGAAAUUCGUAGAUAUCGGGAGGAACACCGGUGGCGAAGGCGGCGACCUGGGUCGAGACUGACGCUGAGGCGCGAAAGCGUGGGGAGCAAACAGG